CCCUUAGAUGUUCUGGGCUGCACGCGCGCUACACUGAUGCACUCAACGAGUUUACGACCUUGCCCGAUAGGGUUGGGUAAUCUUUUUAAAAUGCAUCGUGAUGGGGAUAGAUUAUUGCAAUUAUUAAUCUUCAACGAGGAAUUCCUAGUAAGCGCGAGUCAUCAGCUCGUGCUGAUUACGUCCCUGCCCUUUGUACACACCGCCCGUCGCUACUACCGAUUGGAUGGUUUAGCGAGAACUUUGGACCGGAGCUCGGGUGGUCAGCAAUGGCCGCCCGAGACAUACUGGGAAAUCGCUCCAGCUUGAUCAUCUAGAGGAAGUAAAAGUCGUAACA
rnacentral:rRNA from 1 species